GGAGCCGGGGCGCGCAGACCCUGCUCGGCUCCCCCCGCCAGUGCCGGGAGCCCCGAGCGAGGUUCGGCCCCAGCCCCGGGCUCUCAGGGCGCCCGCCCGGCAGCGGGACCGCUCCCCCGUGGCCGCUCCGGCGGGUCCUCUAGCGUCUGCAGUGCUGGCUCUGCCUCCAUGUGAUGGCCCACUAUGCUGCUAACAUCACUUCCACCCUGGGACUCCAGCUGGAGCAUGGAACCAGGCUGUGGAGAGGUCAGAUUUACCUCCGGCGCAUUUGUAGUGGAGACUUCAGUAAUUCCUGCUAUCUGGAUGCUACCCCUAGCAUCCUCUCUGAGGUCUAGGAAUCCAGAGGAUGGAUUCAGGAGGUCACGGAUCACUUCGUUAUAAAUCUGAAUGGAAGAGAAAGGCAAAGGAAGUUUGUAUGUUUGCACUGCUUUGUCCCUAGGUCAAUAAUAAGGUUGUUGUGCUAUUUAAAAUA